CUUUCUUAUAGGCUGGACUUAAAGUCGUUAACUCAAAUUCAAUACUUCUGUCAGGCUUCCUUUUUUGUAACUGAUAGAUAAAAAAAAUCCUCCUAGUAGGGAAGAUUUUGGACAGAAAAGUAAAAGGAAUAAAAAAGAUCACUAUAGAUACACUACUUAAAUACAACCACUAACUUAACAUUUUGAACUUUCAGCCUCUUUUAGGGCAUCUUUUGGUUGGUUUGGUUUUACACAGUUAAGAUCAUACUGAAUAUACAGUUUUGUAUUCUGUUUCUCAUUGAACUUUAUAACUUAAAUAUUUUUCCAUGGUAUUAAAAGCUCUUCAUAGACAUUAGUACAGUCUUCCUUGUACAGAUAAUGUCGGGACGUUUCUUGGCAACUUUAGUUCCCCAUGCUAACCUUUGGGCACGGUUCCUGUGCUCUGAAAUUGGAGUGGAGUGAAUGGAACCAACGCCCCCCAGUUUCCCCACUGUCCUCUGUUCACCUCAUCUUAUUCCUCUCUUUCAACAUUCAGCAAAUACGUCAGCUUUUGUUUUUAGCAUGUUGUAGUACUCAUUCAGUGACACACCUCUACAUAUCUAAUUUUUUUUGUUGAAUUGUUGGGUAGAGAAGAAGAAAUGCUGGUAUAGAAGGC